rnacentral:rRNA from 2 species
UUGGAGGGCAAGUCUGGUGCCAGCAGCCGCGGUAAUUCCAGCUCCAAUAGCGUAUAUUAAAGUUGUUGCAGUUAAAAAGCUCGUAGUUGAAUUUCGGGGUUAGUAGGUUGGUCAUGCCUCUGGUAUGUACUGGUCUCACUGAUUCCUCCUUCCUGAUGAACCGUAAUGCCAUUAAUUUGGUGUUGCGGGGAAUUUGGACUGUUACUUUGAAAAAAUUAGAGUGUUUAAAGCAAGCUAACGCUUGAAUACAUUAGCAUGGAAUAAUGAAAUAGGACGUUCGAUCCUAUUUUGUUGGUUUCUAGGAUUGACGUAAUGAUUAAUAGGGAUAGUUGGGGGCAUUAGUAUUCAAUUGUCAGAGGUGAAAUUCUUGGAUUUAUUGAAGACUAACUACUGCGAAAGCAUUUGCCAAGGAUGUUUUCAUUAAUCAAGAACGAAAGUUAGGGGAUCGAAGACGAUCAGAUACCGUCGUAGUCUUAACCAUAAACUAUGCCGACUAGGGAUCGGAUGAUGUUAAUUUUUAGUGACUCAUUCGGCGCCUUAC